rnacentral:rRNA from 1 species
GGACCCGCACAAGCGGUGGAGCAUGUGGUUUAAUUCGAUGCAACGCGAAAAACCUUACCUACUCUUGACAUACUUGGAAGCUCUUGUAAUGAGAGUGUGCCUUUUGGAACCAAGAUACAGGUGCUGCAUGGCUGUCGUCAGCUCGUGUCGUGAGAUGUUCCGUUAAGUCGGAUAACGAGCGCAACCCUUACCCUUAUUUGCCAGCGAUUCGGUCGGGAACUAUAAGGGGACUGCCGGUGAUAAACCGGAGGAAGGUGAGGACGACGUCAAGUCAUCAUGGCCCUUACGAGUAGGGCUACACACGUGCUACAAUGGGGAAUACAGACGGACGCUAAGCCGCGAGGUGGUGCUAAUCCUAGAAAGCCAUUCGUAGUCCGGAUUGUUGUCUGCAACUCGACAACAUG